GAGGGUAUAGCUCAGUGGUAGGGUGCAUGCUUAGCAUGCAUGAGGUCCUGGGUUCAAUUCCCCAGUACCUCCA
rnacentral:tRNA from 1 species